rnacentral:misc_RNA from 1 species
GAUGAAGAACGUAGCGAAAUGCGAUAAGUAAUGUGAAUUGCAGAAUUCCGUGAAUCAUCGAAUCUUUGAACGCACAUUGCGCCCGCCAGUAUUCUGGCGGGCAUGCCUGUUCGAGCGUCAUUUCAACCAUCAAGCCCUGCUUGCGUUGGGGUCCUGCGGCUGCCCGCAGGCCCUGAAAACCAGUGGCGGGCUCGCUAGUCACACCGAGCGCAGUAAUACAUCUCGCUUUGGGCGUGCGGCGGGUUCUUGCCGUUAAACACCCCCUUUUUACCAAGGUUGACCUCGGAUCAGGUAGGAAUACCCGCUGAACUUAAGCAUAUCAAUAAGCGGAGGA